rnacentral:rRNA from 1 species
AUGUUCAAGGCUAUACAAAUCAUUUUUCUAGCUUUUGUCAUUGCGACACUUUUCCUUCGGACAGAAACGAGCCCAGAUACAGUUUUUGAGGGAGUAAAGUACUUGGGUGCUCUCUUUAUGGGUAUAGCUGUCAUAAACUUCAACAGCAUGAUCGAACUUGCAAUGACCACAAAGAGACUCCCGAUAUUCUAUAAACAAAGGGAGUCAUUAGCAUUACCAGGAUGGGCUGUUGUUUGCUCAGUUUUCCUUAUCAGUCUACCUAUAUCACUAAUGGAGUCAAGUCUUUGGACCUUUCCCAACCUACUAUGCAAUUGGCUAUGCACCUUCUCCCAUUAG